rnacentral:rRNA from 1 species
UACGUGGGGUGCAAGCGUUGUCCAGAAUUAUUGGGCGUAAAGAGCUCGUAGGCGGUCUGUUGCGUCGGCUGUGAAAACCCGGGGCUCAACCCCGGGCCUGCAGCCGAUACGGGCAGACUAGAGUUCGGCAGGGGAGACUGGAAUUCCCGGUGUAGCGGUGAAAUGCGCAGAUAUCAGGAGGAACACCGGUGGCGAAGGCGGGUCUCUGGGCCGAUACUGACGCUGAGGAGCGAAAGCGUGGGGAGCGAACAGG